rnacentral:rRNA from 1 species
AGCGAACGUUAGCGGCGCGCCUAACACAUGCAAGUCGCACGAGAAAGGGCUUCGGCCCCGGUAAAGUGGCGCACGGGUGAGUAACACGUGGGCAACCUGCCCAACCCUGGGGGAUAACCUGCCGAAAGGCGGGCUAAUACCGCGUACGAGGGCUCCACUUCGGUGGGGUUCUGAAAGCAGGCCUCUGUAUACAAGCUUGCGGGGUUGGAUGGGCCCGCGGUCCAUCAGCUAGUUGGUGAGGUAAUGGCUCACCAAGGCUACGACGGAUAGCUGGUCUGAGAGGAUGAUCAGCCACACUGGAACUGAGACACGGUCCAGACUCCUACGGGAGGCAGCAGUGGGGAAUCUUGCGCAAUGGACGAAAGUCUGACGCAGCGACGCCGCGUGGGUGACGAAGGCCUUCGGGUUGUAAAGCCCUGUGGGGCGAGACGAACAGCUUCUGGUCGAACAGGCCAGGGGUUUGACGGUAUCGCCUUAGCAAGCACCGGCUAACUCUGUGCCAGCCGCCGCUGUAAAAC